AUACGGUCUCCAGUAUUGCGUACAAUACUCCAAGUGAGGUCUCCCAGUGUUCUGUACAAUGGCAUGAGCACUUCCCACUUUCUACUGCUAAUACCUCUCCUUAUAUAACCAAGCAAUCUGUUAGCAUUUCCUGCUGCUCUAUUACAUUGUCUGCCUACCUUUAAGUCAUCAGAAAUAAUCACCCCUAAAUCCCUUUCCUAAGAUGUUGAGGUUAGGACUCUAUCAAAUAUUCUGUACUCUGCCCUUGGCUUUUUACGUCCAAGAUGCAUUAUCUUGCACUUAUCC